GUACUCUGUGUUACGGGAUGAAUUGGAUGUUGCCGAUAAAGCAACGUUUUUGACGUUACCGUAAUAGAAAGCCCCAGCUAACUACGUGCCAGCAGCUGCGGUAAUACGUAGGGGGCAAGCGUUGUCCGGAAUCACUGGGCGUAAAGCGCGCGUAGGCGGUGGAGUAAGCCAGACGUGAAAGGGUUCGGCUCAACCGAGCCAUUGCGUUUGAUACUACCUCACUUGAGUCUAGAAGAGGAAAGUGGAAUGUAUGGUGUAGCGGUGGAAUGCUUAGAUAUCAUAUAGAACACCCGUGGCGAAGGCGGCUUUCUGGUCUAAGACUGACGCUCAUGCGCGAAAGUUUGGGGAGCAACCGGGAUUAGAUACCCCGCUAGUCCUUACUGUAAACGAUGGGUACUAAGUGUAGGGGGAUUCAAUCCCUCUGUGCUGUAGCUAACGCAUUAAGUACCCCGCCUGGGGAGUACGGCCGCAAGGUUAAAACUCAAGGUAAUUGACGGGGGGCCGCACAAGCGGUGGAGCAUGUCGCUUAAUUCGAAGCAACGCGAAGAACCUUAUCCAGGGCUUGACAUCGCAGUGACCGCUAUAGAAAUAUAGUUUUCUUCGGACACUAUGACAGGUG
rnacentral:rRNA from 1 species